UACGUAGGGGGCUAGCGUUGUUCGGAUUUACUGGGCGUAAAGCGCUCGUAGGCGGAUUGUUAAGUCAGGGGUGAAAUCCCGGAGCUCAACUCCGGAACUGCCUUUGAUACUGGCAAUCUUGAGGCUGGAAGAGGUUAGUGGAAUUCCCAGUGUAGAGGUGAAAUUCGUAGAUAUUGGGAAGAACACCAGUGGCGAAGGCGGCUAACUGGUCCAGAUCUGACGCUGAGGUGCGAAAGCGUGGGGAGCAAACAGG
rnacentral:rRNA from 1 species